rnacentral:lncRNA from 1 species
AGCUGUGAUAGCGUGCCAAGCACUGCAUUAGGGACUAGGGGUGGGGAUGAUGAAGGCAGGGGCUGCUCCUGUAGCUGAGAUCUGGGGUUGACCUUCGGAGUCAGUGUGAGGAGGUCAGAGCUCAGAGGAGGAAUGCAACUUCUCAGAGAUUUAUAGCCAGCUUGUGACAUAGCAUGGAGUUGGUGGUCUGCUAUUACAGAACCAUGGGAUUAAAAGUUUCAUAUUGGAAGUGCAGUGUGAGUGGAAGAAAGACCUUCAUUCUGGAGGAUGCUCUGCUUGGCCUGGAUGCUGCCCAUCAGAAGCCCCAGCAAGACUGUUUUCAGCAGGAAUUCCCCAGGUUUGAUGACAUCAUUCUGCUCGCUGUCCCAGUACUGAGUGUCCUCCAAGCCUCACUUUUCCCCCUGCGGUCCGGCAGAGAAUGGUGGCGUCACCCUAGAGCGAGGAUUUGCAGGAUUCCUCUGCUUGCUCUUCACAGUCCCUGAAGGAUUUUGUUAGUUCUCCAUUACUUUUGUUACCUGAGACCCAUCUUUUCAUCCUGUUCCUCCUCUUCCUUGACGACCUGGGAUGUUUCCACACUGAGACAAAGAGGAAGAGACACAUCUAAGCAAUUCUCUACAGAUAGUCUCACUCAUCUCUGUCCUGAGUUCUCCUUGUGACAAGUCCAAAAGCUUGGCCACAGUCCUGAGGCAAAAAGUUUCAUGGAAACUGGUCUCUUGGAGUCUUUGGCAUCCCAUAACAUGGAUGUGGUCCAGAUAUGUCCUUGCAAUAGUCGUGAAGGGUUUAGUGUGCUUUCUUUCAAUAUUGUUUUUAUUAUAAGUGCCUCCAAGGAAUGAUUUGACAAAUAGCUAAGUUAGAUUGAACAUUGCUUCCUGGCCUCUACCAGUGUUCCAAUAUCCUAGGAAAUUGUUGAGCUGACCUUGGGCUUUGAAUUUCGUAAGAAUGUUACUUAUUCAGACAAAAUGCCUCCAGUGUUGAAAGAGAGAUAGUGAAAGAAAUCAGGCAUUGCAGUUUACUGGUUAAGAGUAGAAAUCUCAGAACAAGUUCUACAAAAUAAACUUGGAAUUCUCACUACAGUCAGGUAUGGCAGACUACAUUACAUAUUAAAAGAAAGUUGGUGGGCUCCUCUGUUAAAUGGAGGUUCCCUAUGGAUACUUAGAAUAACAACCAAGUCACACCCAUAUGCAGGAAUUUACAAUGGUCUAGGAAAAAGGAGGGUUGUGGUUUAAGAAGGAACUAGAGUAAAUACUUAGAAUAACAGCCAAGUCACUUCCAUAUACAGAAAUUUACAAUGGCCUAGGGAGAAGGUGGAUUAUACGAUAGACUAGAAUUGGAACUAUAGCUAGGGCGUGAAACCCUUGCCCCUGGCUUCUAAGAAUAAGCUGACCUUAGGUAGGUAUGAUUUUUAUCUCAGUUGUAAACACUGCCUGGUUCUUGCUAGCUUUUAUGUAUACAUUCCUCUGUUUUGUGUCAUUAUGCAUCAGAUGACUUCAAUGUAUCUUGGCUGAUGUGUCACCUGACUUCCUUGUUUUCUUCUGUAAUAUAAGUCUAAUGCUUGCUUUGAGACAUUACAUUCAGAUUCAACACUC